UACCAAAUUCUUUUGAUUAAUAUCUCUUCAAGUUUACAAAAGAAUUCACAACUAAAAUAAUACACAUACAAAUCCUGAAUUAAAAGUUUCAAGUCAUGAGACCAAUAGAUAUUAUUUUAUUGAAUCAAGAUUGAUAGAUUACUCGAUUGAUUGAUAGUUCAGACAAAAUAAUCAUGGAUAAAUAGAGUGUAAUGGAGGAUAUGGCUUCUUCAUAGGAUGCGGAGGUCGUCUGAAACGUGGCCCACCAGGUACGUUGGGACCUGGUUUUGGAUAGUCCAUCAGCUUUUCGAUAUCAUCCUCUUCAAUCUGUAUCACAGUAAAACUUCUAUAAAUUAAUAUUCAAUAAAUUAAUAAUCUUUAUAAAUUAAUAAAUUUCACCGAUUCCAAUUUGGACCAAUUGAAAAUAUAACACAAAUCGAUAAAAUAAUAAGAUAAUAAUUUUUUAGAAAAUUCUAUAUAAAUAUAUGGUCCCACUAAAAUUAUAAAUUAAUAAAAAAAAGAAAGAACCAAAAAAAUUAUCAAAAACCUUUUUGCCUCUUUUUAGACUUUCGAUUUCGACAAAGUGUCAUGAAUUACUUGUUUGAUAGUCCUAAUCCUAGUAUGUAUAUUAAGAAGAAUUCACUUUACCCUUUACAUGUAUACAUAUUUUAUAUAAAUAAGAACAUAUUAUUAUAUUUUUUGUUUUAUAUUUACAAUGUAAUUAUCUUUAUAUUUUUUUAACACUUAAUAUAUAUUUGAAGAAAUUUAGUAAUAUUAUUUCUAAAACCACAUUUAAGUGCUAUGUAUAUAUUAUAUACACUAAAUAAUAUAAUAAAAUUAAUAUAAAUGUCAAAUUUCAAAAAAUAAAACUAAUGUAUAUACACUAAAAUUAAAUAUAUUUUUUAUCUUAAAAUAAAUAUAUCUUAAAAUAAAAAAUAUAAAUAAGAAAACUUCUGUAAAUUAACAUUUCUAUAAAUUAAUAAAAUUUCAAAGUCCCAAUAUUAUUAAUUUAUAGAGUUUCUAUAAUAUUGCGCCACCAAUCAUUUACAUAACUUGAUUUAUUUAAAGAAGGCAAAUAGUUAUUAGGAUUAUUAGUUAUAUAAAAAACAAUGAGAUAAUUUUUUUUUCUUUUUUUUGUUUGUAACUUAAGAUAAUUUUUUCUUUUGGUCCAUGAUUUAACAAAUACAAGAAUAAUGUAAAAAUGGAGCGCCAUAGAAAGUAAUAGCUUGUUAAGUACAAACGAACGAAUAGCAUGAAUUUGAAAGAUGAAGAAAACUGCUCACAAUCUUUUGCCACCUUUUUCGCGAGUUUUGACAAUUAAAUAUGUAAAUUAAACAUUUUUAUUUAUUUUAUUGCUUGUUUUGCUAAAUUAUUUUAUUGUUUACCUUGCCGAAGGAAUAUUGAUCAGUAAGAGCAACUCCAUGGCCAUCCUCAAGCCCUAUAAAAUGCGAGAUGAAAAUAUAAUAUAUGUGUCUUUUUAUAUUAAUACAGGGUAUAUAUUACUGACUCGAUUGGUGAUAUUUUACCACGGUGGCACAACGUACACCAUCUCUUGCAUACCAAUCAAUGAAGCAGUAAAAGAAUUGGUGUAUGAAUGGCAGAACUGUUUUUUUAAUUGAAUUGCUAAUCUAUCUGCUAUUACUAUACGUAAUGCUUGUAACUGUAUAAUCAUCUUGUAUUGCUAUUUCGUACCAUAAUCUUCUAUAGCAGUUUACGUUACUAAUCAUACCUAUUAAUAUAUUGAUUGACAUAACAUUUGUUAUUUAACUUGUGUCUAUACAUGUAAGAAUCAGACAAUAUGCUGAUAUAAGAUCUUCCACUAUUCAUAUAAACCAUUUUGAAGGUUAAAUAAGCUCUUAAAUUAUUUUGUAUAGCAUAGAGAACUGCAUCACUUUAAACUUAGCAACGUACUACAAUUUUGUUUUUGGCAAAAUACUACAAAACAAAAUACUACAAAACAAUAUGCUAGUUGUAUAAAUGUAUUUCUUGCCAAUCUCUCCCAAAUGACGAUUUAAAUUUUUUGAUUUUAAUUAAUUUGAACAUUGAAGAAAAAUCUUAGUAUAAUAUUUAUACCUAUAUUAUUAUUAUAUAUUAAUUGUUCUAUGAUAUUUUUUUUAAUUCUUCUUAGAGUUAUCCAUAAUUGUUAAAAAAAUUUACUUAAUACUAAAUAUACGUACUGAUUUGAAUUUAAUAAUUUGUAUGGAUUUCCAAAAUUAAAAAUUUAUAAAAAUUAAAGAAAAUAAGAAUUUUUGUUGUUGUUUCGAAUAUAUUUAUCAGUUUUAACUGAAUUUUACAUAUUAGAUUUUUUAUUAGAUUUAAAAUCAGUAGAUUUGAUAUAUUUAUUUAUGAAUUCUAUUUAAAUUGUUCAGAUAAAAAAUGAAAUAAAAAUAAAUCGUCUUAAAUUAAAUCUUAAUUAUGUGUUACAUUGUGGUUUUGUUAAUUUAAUUUGUGAUUACCUGAAGAACAAAAUGGUAACAGAAGCAAGAACGAGAUGAAAACCACCAACUUCAUCAUUUUGGAUGGGGGAAUCACUUAUGUGAAAUGGGUUUGAAGAAAAUAAAAUCUGGGGUAGACUUUAUAUGAUAACGCCUAAUCGAUCAAUGGUGAAGUGAAAUAUUUUCUUAUAUGUAGAUGAUUUUGG
rnacentral:lncRNA from 1 species